rnacentral:rRNA from 1 species
GAUGAACGCUAGCUACAGGCUUAACACAUGCAAGUCGAGGGGAAACGACCUCGUUAGCUUGCUUUUUAUGGUCGUCGACCGGUGCACGGCUCAUUAAUACCUAUCCCACCUGCUCAUCACUUCGGCAUAACCUUGCGACAGUUAGACUAAUACCCCAUGACCUCCCACGAAGACAUCUGAAUGGUAUUACAGAUUUAUCUGUGCUCGCGGGGGAUGCGUCUGAUUAGCUUGUUGUCGGGGUAACGGCCCACCAAGGCAACGAUCAGUAGGGGUUCUGAGAGUAAGGGCCCUCACAGUGGAACUGAGACAAGGUCGAAACACAUACGGGAGGCAGCAGUGAGGAAGAUUGGUGAAUGGGCGAGAGCAUGAACCAGCCAAGUAGCGUGCAGGAUGACGGCCCUAUGGGUGGUAAACUGCUGGUAUAAGGGAAUAAAGGGGGUCUCGGGAGACUGUGUGCAUGUACCUUAUGAAUAAGGACCGGCUAAUUACGUG